rnacentral:lncRNA from 1 species
AGGGUGUGAGUCUUGGUCAUUGAUGGCAACCUCCUUAAGCUAGGUUGGGCCAAAGCUAGGAGAUGUGCAUGGAAGGGUGUUUCCUUGGAUGAGUGGUGAGGAAAUGUGGUGGUAAAUGGUCCAAGGAUGGUGAGUUAAGGUAUGCAUGGGGUAGAAGCUCAAAGCCUAGGAGAUAUGGUGGUAGUGGCGUAGUGUUUAGUGGCUCCAAGAGAGGUUAGGCCAAGUCAAGGAGGAAGGUGACUUGAAGGGCCUCUAGGGUUGUUCUAGUCUUGAUCAAGGAAGAGUAUGGCCAUAUUUUGGCAGCAUAACAUUACUUAAUUCCAAGAUGAAAUACAAGGGUGGAGACACCUCUAUUUAUAGGUCAAGGGUGUCUCCUUCUAACCCUAAAAGCAUGAUCUCCCACCUUUACUCUCAUUGGACAAAAAUGAGGCCUUCUAACCUCUAAUGAUGGGAGGACUGUUAAGAGUCCGGCAAGUGUACCGAAUCGUAUCAAGUAAUAAUAAACGGUAAGUCCGAGUAUCGUUUCCCUAGAGACUCUUAGGCCUAAACUUUCAUGUGAUUUCUUGAUUAUUUAAGACUUGAAUAACGAAAAUUAGGGUUUUAUGAUGCAAAAAACGAAAAUUAAAUAUGCAUGCAAAGGUUUUGAUCAAUUGACCAAAAGAUA